rnacentral:rRNA from 1 species
CAAUAGCGUAUAUUAAAGUUGUUGCAGUUAAAAAGCUCGUAGUUGGAUUUCUGGUUGAAGCGACCGGUCGGGCGUUGAUUCGUCUGCACUGGAGUCGGUUUUGGCCAUCCUCGAGGAAAGUGCGUCUGGUAUUAAGUUAUCGGGCGUAUGAUCCUGGUCUUUUACUGUGAAAAAAUUAGAGUGUUUAAAGCAGGCCUUCGCCUUGAAUACAUUAGCAUGGAAUAAUAAGAUAGGACUUUGGUCUAUUUUGUUGGUUUGCAGACCGAAGUAAUGAUUAAUAGGGAUAGUUGGGGGUAUUUAUAUUCCGAUGUCAGAGGUGAAAUUCUUAGAUUUUCGGAAGAUAAACUUAUGCGAAAGCAUUUACCAAGGAUGUUUUCAUUAA